rnacentral:rRNA from 1 species
GGGUUGUGAGGUUAAGCGACUAAGCGUACACGGUGGAUGCCCUGGCAGUCAGAGGCGAUGAAGGACGUGCUAAUCUGCGAUAAGCGUCGGUAAGGUGAUAUGAACCGUUAUAACCGGCGAUUUCCGAAUGGGGAAACCCAGUGUGAUUCGUCACACUAUCAUUAACUGAAUCCAUAGGUUAAUGAGGCGAACCGGGGGAACUGAAACAUCUAAGUACCCCGAGGAAAAGAAAUCAACCGAGAUUCCCCCAGUAGCGGCGAGCGAACGGGGAGCAGCCCAGAGCCUGAAUCAGUGUGUGUGUUAGUGGAAGCGUCUGGAAAGGCGCGCGAUACAGGGUGACAGCCCCGUACACAAAAAUGCACAUGCUGUGAGCUCGAUGAGUAGGGCGGGACACGUGGUAUCCUGUCUGAAUAUGGGGGGACCAUCCUCCAAGGCUAAAUACUCCUGACUGACCGAUAGUGAACCAGUACCGUGAGGGAAAGGCGAAAAGAACCCCGGCGAGGGGAGUGAAAAAGAACCUGAAACCGUGUACGUACAAGCAGUGGGAGCACAGAGCAAUCUGUGUGACUGCGUACCUUUUGUAUAAUGGGUCAGCGACUUAUAUUCUGUAGCAAGGUUAACCGAAUAGGGGAGCCGAAGGGAAACCGAGUCUUAACUGGGCGUUAAGUUGCAGGGUAUAGACCCGAAACCCGGUGAUCUAGCCAUGGGCAGGUUGAAGGUUGGGUAACACUAACUGGAGGACCGAACCGACUAAUGUUGAAAAAUUAGCGGAUGACUUGUGGCUGGGGGUGAAAGGCCAAUCAAACCGGGAGAUAGCUGGUUCUCCCCGAAAGCUAUUUAGGUAGCGCCUCGUGAAUUCAUCUCCGGGGGUAGAGCACUGUUUCGGCAAGGGGGUCAUCCCGACUUACCAACCCGAUGCAAACUGCGAAUACCGGAGAAUGUUAUCACGGGAGACACACGGCGGGUGCUAACGUCCGUCGUGAAGAGGGAAACAACCCAGACCGCCAGCUAAGGUCCCAAAGUCAUGGUUAAGUGGGAAACGAUGUGGGAAGGCCCAGACAGCCAGGAUGUUGGCUUAGAAGCAGCCAUCAUUUAAAGAAAGCGUAAUAGCUCACUGGUCGAGUCGGCCUGCGCGGAAGAUGUAACGGGGCUAAACCAUGCACCGAAGCUGCGGCAGCGACGCUGAUGCGUUGUUGGGUAGGGGAGCGUUCUGUAAGCCUGCGAAGGUGUGCUGUGAGGCAUGCUGGAGGUAUCAGAAGUGCGAAUGCUGACAUAAGUAACGAUAAAGCGGGUGAAAAGCCCGCUCGCCGGAAGACCAAGGGUUCCUGUCCAACGUUAAUCGGGGCAGGGUGAGUCGACCCCUAAGGCGAGGCCGAAAGGCGUAGUCGAUGGGAAACAGGUUAAUAUUCCUGUACUUGGUGUUACUGCGAAGGGGGGACGGAGAAGGCUAUGUUGGCCGGGCGACGGUUGUCCCGGUUUAAGCGUGUAGGCUGGUUUUCCAGGCAAAUCCGGAAAAUCAAGGCUGAGGCGUGAUGACGAGGCACUACGGUGCUGAAGCAACAAAUGCCCUGCUUCCAGGAAAAGCCUCUAAGCAUCAGGUAACAUCAAAUCGUACCCCAAACCGACACAGGUGGUCAGGUAGAGAAUACCAAGGCGCUUGAGAGAACUCGGGUGAAGGAACUAGGCAAAAUGGUGCCGUAACUUCGGGAGAAGGCACGCUGAUAUGUAGGUGAAGUCCCUCGCGGAUGGAGCUGAAAUCAGUCGAAGAUACCAGCUGGCUGCAACUGUUUAUUAAAAACACAGCACUGUGCAAACACGAAAGUGGACGUAUACGGUGUGACGCCUGCCCGGUGCCGGAAGGUUAAUUGAUGGGGUUAGCGCAAGCGAAGCUCUUGAUCGAAGCCCCGGUAAACGGCGGCCGUAACUAUAACGGUCCUAAGGUAGCGAAAUUCCUUGUCGGGUAAGUUCCGACCUGCACGAAUGGCGUAAUGAUGGCCAGGCUGUCUCCACCCGAGACUCAGUGAAAUUGAACUCGCUGUGAAGAUGCAGUGUACCCGCGGCAAGACGGAAAGACCCCGUGAACCUUUACUAUAGCUUGACACUGAACAUUGAGCCUUGAUGUGUAGGAUAGGUGGGAGGCUUUGAAGUGUGGACGCCAGUCUGCAUGGAGCCGACCUUGAAAUACCACCCUUUAAUGUUUGAUGUUCUAACGUGGACCCGUAAUCCGGGUUGCGGACAGUGUCUGGUGGGUAGUUUGACUGGGGCGGUCUCCUCCUAAAGAGUAACGGAGGAGCACGAAGGUUGGCUAAUCCUGGUCGGACAUCAGGAGGUUAGUGCAAUGGCAUAAGCCAGCUUGACUGCGAGCGUGACGGCGCGAGCAGGUGCGAAAGCAGGUCAUAGUGAUCCGGUGGUUCUGAAUGGAAGGGCCAUCGCUCAACGGAUAAAAGGUACUCCGGGGAUAACAGGCUGAUACCGCCCAAGAGUUCAUAUCGACGGCGGUGUUUGGCACCUCGAUGUCGGCUCAUCACAUCCUGGGGCUGAAGUAGGUCCCAAGGGUAUGGCUGUUCGCCAUUUAAAGUGGUACGCGAGCUGGGUUUAGAACGUCGUGAGACAGUUCGGUCCCUAUCUGCCGUGGGCGCUGGAGAACUGAGGGGGGCUGCUCCUAGUACGAGAGGACCGGAGUGGACGCAUCACUGGUGUUCGGGUUGUCAUGCCAAUGGCACUGCCCGGUAGCUAAAUGCGGAAGAGAUAAGUGCUGAAAGCAUCUAAGCACGAAACUUGCCCCGAGAUGAGUUCUCCCUGACUCCUUGAGAGUCCUGAAGGAACGUUGAAGACGACGACGUUGAUAGGCCGGGUGUGUAAGCGCAGCGAUGCGUUGAGCUAACCGGUACUAAUGAACCGUGAGGCUUAACCUUACAACGCCGAAG